rnacentral:lncRNA from 1 species
UUCACGGUAUAUGUCACUUGCUACCCUACAGCGAGUGCAUUCACAACAUACAACAAAUUACCUACAUCAAAACCAUGGCUGAAGGCCGAAAUUCUUUGCCCCAUUUCACCUAUUUGGAUAAAUUUAGUAUAACUAUACUAUGAACUUCUACCAUAUAUAAUAAGCAAACCUUUGAAAUCAUAUGUCACUUUCCACCAUACUUGAAACAGGUAUUACAUAUGCUAUUAUGUUACAUCUACCCUUACCAUAAAUGUAGUCACAACACAAAAUUUUCUAAUAGACUCCUACCAUUUCACAUAUAAGCUAAUGUGAAAUGUUACUGCAUCACUAUACUAUUUAAUUUAUUCAUAUAGUAUAGACAUCUCUUACAAAUCACUAUUUAUUGUCUCCCCCACAACCCAAUCUCACAACCGUAUGUUCUCCAUCGGAUGUUUCAAUACAGCCCUACACUUAGCUAGUUCCCAUUUUCAUGCUAAAAUAUUCAACUCAUGCAUGCAGUUUCCCAAUUUUACAUUUUUCCUCUUCCUCUGUUGCUCCCUUCACAGCGGAACGACAGCUCUGAUUUAAUUGCAAAUCUGGGUUCAUCGGAAACUGAUGAUUUGUCAACUAACGCUAUUCAAUCUAACCUUGCUUCCUGGCCUUCCGAUUUGCAACCGGUCGCGCUGCAGGGAAUCUGCAAUCGCUUCCUCCGCCUUAACUAUCAUUGUCCCUUUGGAACCCUAACUUUUUAAUU